UAUCAUUUCUUUUCCCCUCUAAAAAGAAAAAGGAAAAUGAAUAGUUCAUCACCAGCGAAUUCAUCGAUAUCAACAACAGCAAUCGUUGGAGGAGGAGGAGCAAGUGGUGGCACUAAUGCUGCUUUGGAUGAUUUCCAUUUCCCAUCGGAUCUUAUAUCGAUCCAAGACCGCAAGGAUGAGGCCACGCUUGUUCUAAAAUCGAUUUGAUGGCUGCUCUCAAUGAAGAGGUUAAAUCAUUGGAUGAAGAUAACUGGAAGUUCGAAGGCCCUCGUUCCCGCAUCCACCUCAUAUCAAGACCAGGUGGAUUUCUGCAGAAGCAGACAGAGUUUACAACGAAUCGUAGCAUGGCUCCACCAAAAUGAUUUUCAGAUAUCUUGAGAUUGGACUUCAUAGCUAAAAUAUUGGCUCUAGGAAACAACUCUAUAUAUCUAUACAUUGCUGAACCGCAUUAUGUAUUCAAAUUCAAGCCACCCAUUUGAAGAAUUACAUCACUUUUGGCUGUAGUUAAUAAGCAAAGACAGUUUUGCCUUUACAUUUUGACUUUUGAAUACUCCUUAAAUGAUCAAACCUGUCAAUCCGUUGUAGUGUGGAAUUCGAUUCGUGUUUACAGUCUGUUUCGAAGUUACAGUA